rnacentral:rRNA from 1 species
UACAGAGGUCUCAAGCGUUGUUCGGAAUCACUGGGCGUAAAGGGUGCGUAGGCUGCACGGUAAGUCAGAGGUGAAAUCCCGGAGCUCAACUCCGGAAUUGCCUCCGAUACUGCCGUGCUUGAGGACUGGAGAGGAGAUUGGAAUUCACAGUGGAGCAGUGAAAUGCGUAGAUAUUGUGAGGAACACUAGUGGCGAAGGCGAAUCUCUGGACAGUUCCUGACGCUGAGGCACGAAGGCCAGGGGAGCAAACGGG